GACGAACGCUGGCGGCAUGCCUAAUACAUGCAAGUCGACCUUAGUGGCGAACGGGGGAGUAACACGUGGGUAACCUACCCAUCAGAGUGGGGUAACCCUUGGAAACAGGUGCUAAUACCGCAUAUUGGUGUAUGGACCCGAUGUGCAUUAGCUAGUUGGUGAGGUAACGGCUCACCAAGGCCACGAUGCAUAGCCGACCUGAGAGGGUGAUCGGCCACACUGGGACGGAGACACGGUCCAGACUCCUACGGGAGGCAGCAGUAGGGAAUCUUGGGCAAUGGACGAAAGUCUGAUCGAGCAAUGCCGCGUGAGUGAAGAAGGUUUUCGGAUCGUAAAACUCUGUUGGUAGAGAAGCGGUAUCUAACCAGAAAGCCACGGCUAACUACGUGCCAGCAGCCGCGGUAAUAC
rnacentral:rRNA from 1 species